rnacentral:rRNA from 1 species
CCUACUGGUGGCAUCAUUGGGGUAUAUUGCACAAUGGGGGGAACCCUGAUGCACCAACGCCGCUCGCGUUCCUUCUCUUUUCUUCUCUUCCCUCCCUCUCUUCCUUUCCUCACAUGACGGUACCUGCCCAAGAAGCCCCGGCUAACAACGUGCCAGCAGCCGCGGUAAUACGAAGGGGGCAAGAGUGAUCCGGCUUUACUGGGUGUAAGGGGGGCGCGGAAGGCAAUGCAAGCCAGGAGUGAAUGCCCAGGGCCCAACCCCGGGACUGCCCUUGGAACUGCAUGGCUGGAGUGCAGGAGGGGCAGGUGGAAUUCCUAGUGUAGCGGUGAAAUGCGUAGAUAUUAGGAGGAACACCGGUGGCGAAGGCGGCCUGCUGGACUGUGACUGACGUUGAGGCCCGAAGGCGUGGGGAGCAAACAGGAUUAGAUAACACGGUAGUC